UUCGCCGAUGCAGGGGAGCGGCGGUGGGGAUUUCCUCCUCGCCGGCGCAGGGGCGUCUUGGCGCGGUAGGACGCGACUGCUCCGUCUCCUCCAACUACGGAGGGCCAACUCACUGUGCUGGGAUUUGGAAAUUGUGGAGCACAUUAUACAAGAUAAACUACCAAAGUCUAAGACCCUUUUUGUUUUUAAUGUUUGUUGAAAUAUUAUUCGCAUAAUUCGAGAGCCUUUUUCUAUGAAUGCAUUGUCAAGGAUUGGAGUGAUGACUUGAGAAAUGUAUCGUCGCAAAGCAUAAACUAUCCACCUAAUUAAGGGGAUAGCCCCUAAAGAAGAAGAAGAAACCUAGGCGUUUCCAGCUUCUUUGGCUGGUACGCAUGACUACUUGUAGCAACUUCUGAUUCUAGCAUUCGUAAGUGGUCUGAGAUGAUGACACUAUUUCUGAUCUUUUGUGCAAGAUCGUUGCAGGCUGCCGUCAAAGACCCCUAAUCCGGAGGCAAAGUUAGGAGUGUUGCUUCGCUUGGUGUGAGGGUCUCAAGUGGUACUGAUAUUUUAGAGGCAAAAGGCCAUUAUAAAUUGGGCUUGGCUUUAAUUAUUUGACACCCUAGCCUAUUGUCUAACUCAGAUAUACUACGUGCACAUAUAAGUGUCAGCAUAAUCAAAAUGACAAUGCAUAGUGUCAAAUCAUCAAAAAUGUCUGUGUUACAAUUCAGCUAUUAGUAAUAAUUUAUUUGACCAAUGAGCUCGAAUGGCACAGGUCGACAAGUUGUAUUCCGGUAAAAUGACUUAGACUACACCCUACUUGAAAAGCUCUAGAG